rnacentral:misc_RNA from 1 species
AUACGAAGCUCGACUAAAGGACGUAGUUAGAGCUUAUAAAGGAUUGGUAAAGGAGAAAGAAACUCUUGAAACCUCUCUCAAAGUUAUUACAGCUGCAGCUGCUACUGAUGAACAGGGCAAGGAAGGUGAAGGGGAUGUAAGCGAUGUUGAGUCUACAGCAGAUUCUCAGACUAGUACUGAUACUGCUAACUUCAAGUCUAGGCUUGGAACCCUUUCAUCAAGUUUAGCCAGUAUAAGCCAGGAGAAGGCCCAGAACGAGGCCAAGUACCUGGCGGAGAGGAGAAGGUUGAAGAAGGAGAAGGAUGAGCUGAUCAUUCAAGUGAACAAUCUCAAGGCAGCAGAUGAGUCCCUCAGGAAGAAUUUGGAAGAUUUCAAAUCUAAACUAAUUGUCGAGAGACAUGAACGGGAGCAGGAAACUAAUAACAAUAAACUUAUGAUGAAGGAGCUGCAGAAACUUCUAGCUGAUGAAAGAAACCUGAAAGAGAAGCUGAAUGAUGAACUCCAUGGGUUUAGAACUGGAGCUAUCAGUAUCCAGACUACCAGGUCUAGUCUAGUAGAGGAGACUAGACUCAAGGAGGUGGAAAACGAACUGGAGCAGAUGAAACUAAAACUUAAUAAAUCCGAGGAACAGCUGCGAGAUCAGAAUUCAACCAAACAACAGCUGCGGCAGCUUCAGCAGGAGCUGUUCGAGGUUCGGCAGCAGCACCAGGAGCAGCUUAGAUCUGCUGAACUAGCAAGAGAAGCUGCUGAAUUGCGUGCUAUUGAGCUUCAAAAUCAACAAGAGAAUAGGGUGGGUAACCUAGAGAAUAGGUUACAGGAACUGUCCUCCAGUGUAGCAGAAUAUCAGAGAUUAAGAGAAUCUGAUCAGACGGAUAUAAACAGACUUAGAAUGAAAAUUGAUUUGUUGAGCGAUGAAAACUCAGUGUUAGCCAGAGCAGUAUCUACUGAACCCCCGGAGAUUAAAGAAAAGCACUUGAAACAAGCUGAGAUUAAACAGAUUAUUGAAAAUGUGAAAACAUAUAAAAAGACACUCUCCGAGGAGGGUAUAGAGCAGACUCUUCUGGAAGAUUUGUUCAGUCUUCCCAUCCAUACAAUCUGGAGGAAGCAGGUUGGGGACCUGGAGGGCCAGGUUCAGGAGCAGGAGAACCUUAUCAAGGAGUUGAAGAAGGAGCAAAGAGUCGGAGCUCCUGGGAUGUAUGAGGAUUUCCUGACGUACUCAGCUCAGACUAGAGAGCUAGAAAAUAUAAAGGAAUACAACGAGGUUCUAAAAGCCCGGCUCUCUGAGUCUAAACUUGAGCUGGGAAGACUGGAAAAGGAGCUGAAGGAAAAGUGUAGGAGUUUACUAGAGUUAAAGGAGGAAAAUGAGAAGGAGAAGGAGAUUGAAAGAAUGGAGAAUAGAAAACAGAUCGGAAUAUUAAAGUACGAACUGCAGCAGCAAAGGGAGCGUUCUCUAGUUCUCCUGGAGGAAAAGGAUGCUGAGAUCCAGAGAUUAGUUGGAGACCUGGAGAAAACUGUUGAGGACGCAUUCUUUAGUCCUGAACGACCAGAGUCUUCAAGUUCUCUAGUUCUUCCUGCUAGAAAGGUUUCCUGUGAUAUCGGAGAUAUGAAUGCAGGACCGAACAGUAGUGGACCUCCUCUUCACUACGUUCAGGAGUUGAGUAGGAAGGAGGUAGAGAUUAAAGAGAUGAGAGCACUGCAGUUUCAAACUGAAACAACUCUACGAGAACUCCAGCUUACUAUGUCAACAAAGGAGGAGAAAUAUCAGGAGAAAAUAGAGGAUCUGGAGGAUACAAUAUCAAGACUAGAAAGGAUGACGACCUCCGAGGGCGCUAAUCUGGAGUACUUGAAGAACGUGGUGUUGACCUACAUGCUAUCUACGGAUAUCUCCAGUAGGAACCAUAUGCUCAAGGCUAUCGGAGCAGUACUUAGGCUUAGUAAAUCAGAGGUUUCCCGUGUAAUGGAACAAAAUAAUGCCUGGUGGUGGCAGCAUUCACAUAAAACCCCUCCUAAAACUAAUUAAAUCCUCCUUGAACUAAAUAAACCACCCUAGAACUGAUUAAAACCCUCCUAGAACUAAUUAAACCCAAUAAAACUAAAUAAACACUCCUAUAUUUUUUGCUUUUUCAUUAUAUAUCAACAUAUCAACACAUAUCAAUAUUUAUAGAUGCACUUCCUUUAAGGGCCAAAUUUUUAUAUUUGUAUUGUAUGACUUGCGAAACUGUAGUACGGGCAACUUUUAAAAUAUGUGAAUUUUAAA